rfam:Zea mays cultivar B73 chromosome 1, whole genome shotgun sequence.
GGUAUUAGAUGAUGAAGAACUUGUCUCCUAUAAUAUGGAUAGGUUAGAUUCAUAUAUUAUACACCACAUAUAUCUUCAAUCAUGUAUUGAUCAGAUCCUAUAUCUGUUAGUGAGUCGUAUGCACAAUCUCUUGGUUUUGAUA